CUCAGGACGAACGCUGGCGGCGUGCUUAACACAUGCAAGUCGAACGGAAAGGCCCUGCUUUUGUGGGGUGCUCGAGUGGCGAACGGGUGAGUAACACGUGAGUAACCUGCCCUUGACUUUGGGAUAACUUCAGGAAACUGGGGCUAAUACCGGAUAGGAGCUCCUGCUGCAUGGUGGGGGUUGGAAAGUUUCGGCGGUUGGGGAUGGACUCGCGGCUUAUCAGCUUGUUGGUGGGGUAGUGGCUUACCAAGGCUUUGACGGGUAGCCGGCCUGAGAGGGUGACCGGCCACAUUGGGACUGAGAUACGGCCCAGACUCCUACGGGAGGCAGCAGUGGGGAAUAUUGCACAAUGGGCGGAAGCCUGAUGCAGCAACGCCGCGUGCGGGAUGACGGCCUUCGGGUUGUAAACCGCUUUCGCCUGUGACGAAGCGUGAGUGACGGUAAUGGGUAAAGAAGCACCGGCUAACUACGUGCCAGCAGCCGCGGUGAUACGUAGGGUGCGAGCGUUGUCCGGAUUUAUUGGGCGUAAAGGGCUCGUAGGUGGUUGAUCGCGUCGGAAGUGUAAUCUUGGGGCUUAACCCUGAGCGUGCUUUCGAUACGGGUUGACUUGAGGAAGGUAGGGGAGAAUGGAAUUCCUGGUGGAGCGGUGGAAUGCGCAGAUAUCAGGAGGAACACCAGUGGCGAAGGCGGUUCUCUGGGCCUUUCCUGACGCUGAGGAGCGAAAGCGUGGGGAGCGAACAGGCUUAGAUACCCUGGUAGUCCACGCUGUAAACGGUGGGUACUAGGUGUGGGGUCCAUUCCACGGGUUCCGUGCCGUAGCUAACGCUUUAAGUACCCCGCCUGGGGAGUACGGCCGCAAGGCUAAAACUCAAAGGAAUUGACGGGGCCCCGCACAAGCGGCGGAGCAUGCGGAUUAAUUCGAUGCAACGCGUAGAACCUUACCUGGGUUUGACAUGGAUCGGGAGUGCUCAGAGAUGGGUGUGCCUCUUUUGGGGUCGGUUCACAGGUGGUGCAUGCCUGUCGUCAGCUCGUGUCGUGAGAUGUUGGGUUAAGUCCCGCAACGAGCGCAACCCUUGUUCACUGUUGCCAGCACGUUAUGGUGGGGACUCAGUGGAGACCGCCGGGGUCAACUCGGAGGAAGGUGGGGAUGACGUCAAGUCCUCAUGCCCCUUAUGUCCAGGGCUUCACGCAUGCUACAAUGGCUGGUACAGAGAGUGGCGAGCCUGUGAGGGUGAGCGAAUCUCGGAAAGCCGGUCUCAGUUCGGAUUGGGGUCUGCAACUCGACCUCAUGAAGUCGGAGUCGCUAGUAAUCGCAGAUCAGCAACGCUGCGGUGAAUACGUUCCCGGGGCUUGUACACACCGCCCGUCAAGUCAUGAAAGUUGGUAACACCCGAAGCCGGUGGCCUAACCGUUGUGGGGGAGCCGUCGAAGGUG
rnacentral:rRNA from 1 species